UACGGGGGGGGCAAGCGUUGUUCGGAAUUACUGGGCGUAAAGAGCGCGCAGGCGGCUUGGUAAGUCGGAUGUGAAAUCCCGAGGCUCAACCUCGGGUCUGCAUCCGAUACUGCCCGGCUAGAGGUAGGUAGGGGAGAUCGGAAUUCCUGGUGUAGCGGUGAAAUGCGCAGAUAUCAGGAGGAACACCGGUGGCGAAGGCGGAUCUCUGGGCCUUACCUGACGCUCAGGCGCGAAAGCUAGGGGAGCGAACUGG
rnacentral:rRNA from 1 species